CCUUCCCAAUCUUUCCCCAAUCCCUUCCAAUGGCAUUCAUACAGUCCCGCAAGUGGCAGUCAGCCAUUAUCCUUCCUUAAAUAUCGGGGUUGGACAGACUUGGCUCCAACUGCCCCACCCUCUACCGCAAAAUGAAAAAUUAAAAUAAAAGGUAUCUUAUUUUUUAGGAACGAUGAGUGUGCUUUUAAACCUUUUUCGUUAGUAUUUAGCAUACAAACACUUGUUUUUCAAUCAUGCUAUUGCACAUAUUUCAUACAUGCAUUAUUUAUAAUAUGCUACCUUCACUUCUACCACUCACUGCAACAAUGCAACAACACAAGAUAUAUAUACACUAAAGUCGCUUUUUACGCGGGGGAUACGUGCCGCGUAAAAAAAAAACUGCGUAAAUUCCGGAAUCCGCGUAAAAAAAAACCGCGUAAAUUCCGGAAUCCGCGUAAAAAAGCAUCUUUAAUUUUGCAUUCCGAGUGAAGGGGAACCGAAAUCCCGACAAAAAAACAAACCGCGUAAAUUCCGGAAUCCGCGUAAAAAAAUCGCGUAAAUUCCGGAAUCCGCGUAUAAAAACCGCGUAAAUUCCAAAUUCCGGAGUCCGCGUAAAUUGCGGAAUCCGCUUAAAUAAGCCGCGUAAAAAAAAAACGCGUGAAAAGCGACCUUAGUGUACAUGGUUAAAUGAACUGAGGUAAUAACUGAGUGUGUUAUUUCCAGGUGAAGUGCUGUUCACGAUGCGACUUGUUUGGGACCCAUGCAGGAUGAUGAGCCAACCGUAGACAAAGAGCAACACUGGAAAAUCCUGUAGCAGAAGCAUUUUAAGGAGUUUUACGCCAAAAGUAUUGAUUUAUUCAUGGUCCAAGUCCAAGAACCAAGGAGCAAAGCGUGUGCGAUGCGCGUUCAAACGGAAAAGAAAUAGCAACAGUAGCUCGAGCGGACUUCACGACAGACCUCCCGGUUACCAGGUUUAAGCUCAAAUUAUAAAACAAACAAAAAACAACGUGAUUGCGGCGACCAAAUUGAUUAACUAACACCGACCAGUUCCUAGAGCAUCAAUCAGUAAACCUCGCAAAUAUCCUCCAUUGAAAAUGUCGAUGAUCUUACCAGUAUCCUAGGACAAUCAGGAAUUCAUCUUGAAGCGUAGUGGCGUAAGCAAGCUUUUGACACACUUGAGGGCAACCGGAUAUUUGGAUGCCAAACGUUCUGGAUAUGGCUCAUAAUAAACCAUCCUUAUUUAUAUCACUGAUGUCCCCUGCUAGACCAUAAGUGAAGGCGACAUUGAUCGGAGGAGAGAAAAAAAUGAAGGCACACCUGUACACCUAUACCUGGAAUCAAAUAUGUAAAAACAAACAAGAAUCUGCAACGGAAUUCGCUCAGAGAUACAAAACGAAAAAGUAACAGAAACUAUAAGUUCAUUAUCAGGAAAACCUUUUAGAUUAUGUUUUCGACUUGAUUCCGUUAGGUUUAAGAAAAAGAAACAAAAAAUGUUCUACUAGUAUCAAAUCUAUAUCAAACUCUGUUACUAACGUAUCUAUUUCCUAACAUAAUGAAAUAGUAUAUAAAAUAGGCAACCAUUGUUAGAAAAACACGCUCUAAUAGAAUCGAGACUAUGUUUAACAACAACUUAAUUUCAGGACUUGUUAUCAGAUCUCAUUCAGAUUCAUGUUUGUUAUCAGAAGCAUUUGGCAAAAUACAAAAUCGAAUCAGAAUAUGAUAUUUAUAUCUCGUGUAGAUAUAACGUAAUUUUUUGUAGUUGUGCUCUUCUGAUCAGGAAGUUCCAAACGAAAUUGGAAAACAUUUUGCAGCAUUUGUUGACGGCAGAGGCCGUUUAAAUUUUUGUUCUAGUUUGUUCUUGAGCGUAAAAUAUUAUAUUAUAAGGUUAUAAUUAAACUAAUUCUUACGUCAAAAAAUAGAGCCACAGUAAAUAUAGUAGUUACUCGAAGCAUUAUUUGUAGAUCGAGCAGCGUAAGACGUUGUUUAUUAAAAAGCUGUUCAGGCAUAAAGAAGAGUCACGGUAAACAUAAAUUUCAAUCUGAUUGCUAGGAGCAUU